rnacentral:piRNA from 1 species
UUUGCCUGUGAUGAGUUUUUGUUGACCCAC